ACCUCUGUUUGUCCACGGGGCAACUGUGAGGGUCUCCUCCAGGAACAAAGGCUGUCAUGUCAGCGAACACAGCAGAGAGGCUGCUCAGACCUACCACGUGCUGGGCCUGGGAGGAGCAGGGCUCUGGGAACAGCCAGCGUCCAUCAGUUAAGAGUCAGAAGGCUGGGCAGCCCAGCCAGGAAUCCCUGAGCUAGAGAAUUUUAAAAUAGCUCUGCAUGAGGAGGUCAUCUGACCCUCCAGAUACUUAAGGUGCCCUCUUGACCUAUGUCACUUUCCCCCUCUUGCAUUCUCAAGCUCUUUGACUUCCCUACUCCUGCUUCUAUGUUGAGGGUCGUGGUCACCGAGAAAUGAAGGCCCUUUGCCGAGUGGGCCAAGCCUGCCUGUGCUGAGAAGAGCUUGAAGCCCCUUGGGUGCCCCAGCAGGGGCGGGGCCUGGAGGCUGCUGGACUGAGGCUGGCUCUCACCACUUCCAAGCAGGAGUUCUCUCUGCCAGGCAGCAUGACAGGAGGAGACAGCUGCAGCUCCCCCCUUGAGCUAUAAAAAGCCCCAGCAGCCGAGUGAGCAGAGGGCACGCCAAGCAGAUACACGGAACUUAGCUGGACUCCGGGGGAGCUCGGCUCCACUAUGAUGCUGAGGUUACCCUGUGCCCCCAGGCUCCUGCAGGCCUCUCUGAGGGGCUGGGUGGUUCCCAAGGCACAUGUCUCCACAAAGCCGGCCCGAACACCCACGUCUCCCACGGAGCAAGCCAUUGGACUCUCUGUGAUGUUCCUCAGCUUCCUGAUUCCUGCAGGCUGGGUCUUAUCCCACCUGGACAGCUACAAGAAAGGCCCCGCGGCGUGAAGGCUCCGCAGCUCGGGCUCCAGGCGCAUGACGGAGAAUUGCAUUAAACCCCUCCUCCACCUAGUG